UUUAAUUCGAAGCAACGCGAAGAACCUUACCUAAGCUUGACUUCCCAAUGACAUCUCCUAAAGCGGAGAGUUCCCUGCGGUGACAUUUGUGCUAGGUGGUGCAUGGUUGUCGGCAGCUCUGGGCGUGAGAUGUUGGGUUGAGUCCCGCAACGAGCGCAACCCGUGUCUUUAGUUGCCAGCAUUAAGUUGGGGACUCUAGGGAGACUGCCAGGGAUAACCUGGAGGAAGGUGGGGAUGACGUCAAAUCAUCAUGCCCCGUAUGCUUAGGGCUACACACGUGCUACAAUGGGUAGUACAGAGGGUUGCCAAGCCGUAAGG
rnacentral:rRNA from 1 species